rnacentral:rRNA from 1 species
GAUUAAGUUAUUAAGGGCGCACGGUGGAUGCCUUGGCACUAGAAGCCGAUGAAGGACGUUACUAACGACGAUAUGCUUUGGGUAGCUGUAAGUAAGCGUUGAUCCAGAGAUUUCCGAAUGGGGGAAAGAAGGCAGACCCGGAGAACUGAAACAUCUUAGUACCCGGAGGAAGAGAAAGAAAAAUCGAUUCCCUGAGUAGCGGCGAGCGAAACGGGAAGAGCCCAAACCAACAAGCUUGCUUGUUGGGGUUGUAGGACACUCUAUACGGAGUUACAAAAGAACAUGUUAGACGAAUCAUCUGGAAAGAUGAAUCAAAGAAGGUAAUAAUCCUGUAGUCGAAAACAUAUUCUCUCUUGAGUGGAUCCUGAGUACGACGGAGCACGUGAAAUUCCGUCGGAAUCUGGGAGGACCAUCUCCUAAGGCUAAAUACUCUCUAGUGACCGAUAGUGAACCAGUACCGUGAGGGAAAGGUGAAAAGUACCCCGGAAGGGGAGUGAAAGAGAACUUGAAACCGUGUGCUUACAAGUAGUCAGAGCCCGUUAAUGGGUGAUGGCGUGCCUUUUGUAGAAUGAACCGGCGAGUUACGAUCUGAUGCAAGGUUAAGCAGCAAAUGUGGAGCCGCAGCGAAAGCGAGUCUGAAUAGGGCGUUGAGUAUUUGGUCGUAGACCCGAAACCAGGUGAUCUACCCUUGGUCAGGUUGAAGUUCAGGUAACACUGAAUGGAGGACCGAACCGACUUACGUUGAAAAGUGAGCGGAUGAACUGAGGGUAGCGGAGAAAUUCCAAUCGAACUUGGAGAUAGCUGGUUCUCUCCGAAAUAGCUUUAGGGCUAGCCUCAAGUGAUGAUUAUUGGAGGUAGAGCACUGUUUGGACGAGGGGCCCCUCUCGGGUUACCGAAUUCAGACAAACUCCGAAUGCCAAUUAAUUUAACUUGGGAGUCAGAACAUGGGUGAUAAGGUCCGUGUUCGAAAGGGAAACAGCCCAGACCACCAGCUAAGGUCCCAAAAUAUAUGUUAAGUGGAAAAGGAUGUGGCGUUGCCCAGACAACUAGGAUGUUGGCUUAGAAGCAGCCAUCAUUUAAAGAGUGCGUAAUAGCUCACUAGUCGAGUGACACUGCGCCGAAAAUGUACCGGGGCUAAACAUAUUACCGAAGCUGUGGAUUGUCCUUUGGACAAUGGUAGGAGAGCGUUCUAAGGGCGUCGAAGCAUGAUCGCAAGGACAUGUGGAGCGCUUAGAAGUGAGAAUGCCGGUGUGAGUAGCGAAAGACGGGUGAGAAUCCCGUCCACCGAUUGACUGAGGCCGACAGGCGUAGGCGAUGGAUAACAGGUUGAUAUUCCUGUACCACCUAGUAUCGUUUUAAUCGAUGGGGGGACGCAGUAGGAUAGGCGAAGCGUGCUGUUGGAGUGCACGUCCAAGCAGUAAGGCUGAGUGUUAGGCAAAUCCGGCACUCAUAAGGCUGAGCUGUGAUGGGGAGAGGAAAUUGUUUCCUCGAGUCGUUGAUUUCACACUGCCGAGAAAAGCCUCUAGAUAGAUAACAGGUGCCCGUACCGCAAACCGACACAGGUAGUCAAGAUGAGAAUUCUAAGGUGAGCGAGCGAACUCUCGUUAAGGAACUCGGCAAAAUGACCCCGUAACUUCGGGAGAAGGGGUGCUCUUUAGGGUUCACGCCCAGAAGAGCCGCAGUGAAUAGGCCCAAGCGACUGUUUAUCAAAAACACAGGUCUCUGCUAAACCGUAAGGUGAUGUAUAGGGGCUGACGCCUGCCCGGUGAACGGUCCUAAGGUAGCGAAAUUCCUUGUCGGGUAAGUUCCGACCCGCACGAAAGGCGUAACGAUUUGGGCACUGUCUCAACGAGAGACUCGGUGAAAUCAUAGUACCUGUGAAGAUGCAGGUUACCCGCGACAGGACGGAAAGACCCCGUGGAGCUUUACUGUAGCCUGAUAUUGAAAUUCGGCACAGCUUGUACAGGAUAGGUAGGAGCCUUUGAAACGUGAGCGCUAGCUUACGUGGAGGCGUUGGUGGGAUACUACCCUAGCUGUGUUGGCUUUCUAACCCGCACCACUUAUCGUGGUGGGAGACAGUGUCAGGCGGGCAGUUUGACUGGGGCGGUCGCCUCCUAAAAGGUAACGGAGGCGCUCAAAGGUUCCCUCAGAAUGGUUGGAAAUCAUUCAUAGAGUGUAAAGGCAUAAGGGAGCUUGACUGCGAGACCUACAAGUCGAGCAGGGUCGAAAGACGGACUUAGUGAUCCGGUGGUUCCGCAUGGAAGGGCCAUCGCUCAACGGAUAAAAGCUACCCCGGGGAUAACAGGCUUAUCUCCCCCAAGAGUUCACAUCGACGGGGAGGUUUGGCACCUCGAUGUCGGCUCAUCGCAUCCUGGGGCUGUAGUCGGUCCCAAGGGUUGGGCUGUUCGCCCAUUAAAGCGGUACGCGAGCUGGGUUCAGAACGUCGUGAGACAGUUCGGUCCCUAUCCGUCGUGGGCGUAGGAAAUUUGAGAGGAGCUGUCCUUAGUACGAGAGGACCGGGAUGGACAUACCUCUGGUGUACCAGUUGUCGUGCCAACGGCAUAGCUGGGUAGCUAUGUAUGGACGGGAUAAGUGCUGAAAGCAUCUAAGCAUGAAGCCCCCCUCAAGAUGAGAUUUCCCAACUUCGGUUAUAAGAUCCCUC